rnacentral:misc_RNA from 1 species
GGGGGGUUCGAUUCCCAGCAUACGCACCA